rnacentral:miRNA from 1 species
CAGGGCCUCACUGUAUCGCCCA